rnacentral:rRNA from 1 species
GACGAACGCUGGCGGCGUGCUUAACACAUGCAAGUCGUACGACAGCAUUUCCUUUUAGGUUGUGUUUGGAGUGGCGAACGGGUGAGUAACACGUGAGUGACCUGCCCUUCACUUUGGGAUAACGUGCGGAAACGUGCGCUAAUACCAAAUAUUCGCAUUUCUGCUGCAUGGUGGGGUGUGGAAAGGGGCCUUCGGGUUCGUGGUGGGGGAGUGGGCGUCGCGGCCUAUCAGCUGUGUUGGUGGGGUGAUGGCCUACCAAGGCGUGGACGGGUAGCCGGCCUGAGAGGGCGGACGGACACACUGGGACUGAGACACGGCCCAGACUCCUACGGGAGGCAGCAGUGGGGAAUUGUUCGCAAUGGGCGCAAGCCUGACGACGCAACGCCGC